rnacentral:rRNA from 1 species
ACGGGAGGCAGCAGUGAGGAAUAUUGGUCAAUGGUCGGAAGACUGAACCAGCCAAGUCGCGUGCAGGAAGACGGUCCUAUGGAUUGUAAACUGCUUUUGUACGGGAAUAAAGUGCGGGACGUGUCCCGUUUGGAAUGUACCGUAAGAAUAAGGAUCGGCUAAUUCCGUGCCAGCAGCCGCGGUAAUACGGAAGAUCCGAGCGUUAUCCGGAUUUAUUGGGUUUAAAGGGAGCGUAGGCGGGCCUUUAAGUCAGUGGUCAAAGCGUGUGGCUCAACCAUACCACGCCGUUGAUACUGGAGGCCUUGAGUGCACAUAAGGAUGGUGGAAUUCAUGGUGUAGCGGUGAAAUGCUUAGAUAUCAUGAAGAACUCCGAUUGCGAAGGCAGCUGUCCGGGGUGUAACUGACGCUAAUGCUCGAAAGUGCGGGUAUCAAACAGGAUUAGAUACCCUGGUA